GGCCCUACCAGGAACCGCCGCGCUCCCCUCUUCGAAAGUCUAUCUCUCCAGAAUGGAUUUAUUUAAAAGAGAAAAAAAAAAAAAAAAAGAAGAAAGAAAAGCAAGGUCAUCUCAUUACUCUAUCCGCCAAUCAGGAGGCUGAAUGUCAGUUUUGAACGAAAAGGCCGCUCCGCUCCGCUUCUAGAUUUGGGAAACAAACAAAAUUAAACAAAACCGCUGCACGCAGCGGACGCGACAUCUGGACACUGCGUGGCGCUGGCGCCGUUGGAGCUGCGGGCCGGGCGCCGGACCAGCUCGGAGACAGUAAAAGCGGUCCUGUCUCAGCAGAGCAGGACAGCGGGGAAGGAAAAGAAGGAGCAGAAAGGAGGGGCGAGUCGAAGACACGGAGGCGGCCGGAGCACACAGAGACGCCGGGUCCCGGAGCACAGGCUGGCGAGUCUCGGCUCUCCGCCGGGAGCGCGGACGCGGGCUUGCCGGUACUCCGACAGCGAAAAGUCGAGCCCGGGACGCCACUUUGAGGCCAGCCGCGCUGACCGGCUGCCCGACCCUGGAGUGCGCGCUCCGUCUGGAUCUGUCCAGAGCCUUGCGGACUGGAGCCGCGGCCUGAGCGGCGGGGCGCGUGCAAGAGGAUGUGGGACUAGGCCCAGCUCGCGGAGCCUGGAAAUGUGGCCCGCUUCUCAGUGGCUUCUCGCUCAGGUGCUUGGGCUUAGUGGCCCAGCUGAAGAAGUGGAACCUCGGCGUGAGCCGGCAGGGCCUGGUAGAUGGCACGCUGCCCUCCUUCCACUUUACGGAGGAAGAAGGUGAGGCCUGGGUUGGCCAAGCUCCGGGGCUGUAACUGAGGAGCCGCAAGGCUGCUGCUCCUUCACCAUCCGCCACCCCGCCACGUGACCUUGCUGCCGAACCUCUGUCCAAAUCCAAGACUGAACAAGGGCUGGUUGGAUGAGAUGCCUGCUUUGGUGAGACAUCAUAGAAGAAACUGAGAUGAGAAGAACCUGGAGGUAGACACAAUCAGUGGUCAAGCAGAAAACUUAAAUACUCAAGAUAUUCCCUGACACCAGGCCACAAGUCUUCCUUUGGAUGAGAAGAAUGAGCCUCAUUCUGAUUCAACGGCAGAGAUCAAAUAAAAAACUUCUGUUUUUUGUUUUGUUUUGUUUUGUUUGCCACCAGAUAUGUUAUCUGUGCUUACAGAACUGAAAAACACACAUCA